CAAGUACUCCCUUCGUCCGGAAUUACUUGUCAUCAAAAUGGAUGUGUCUAGAACUAAAAUACAUCUAGAUAUAUCCAUUUCAAUGACAAGUAUUUUCGGACGGAGGGAGUACAAG
rnacentral:pre_miRNA from 1 species